GACGAACGCUGGCGGCGUGCUUAACACAUGCCAGUCGAACGGAAAGGCCCUGCUUUUGUGGGGUGCUCGAGUGGCGAACGGGUGAGUAACACGUGAGUAACCUGCCCUUGACUUUGGGAUAACUUCAGGAAACUGGGGCUAAUACCGGAUAGGAGCUCCUGCUGCAUGGUGGGGGUUGGAAAGUUUCGGCGGUUGGGGAUGGACUCGCGGCUUAUCAGCUUGUUGGUGGGGUAGUGGCUUACCAAGGCUUUGACGGGUAGCCGGCCCGAGAGGGUGAGCGGCGACAUGGGGGCAGAGAUAUGGGGCAGACUCCUACGGGAGGCAGCAGUGGGGAAUAUGGCACAAUGGGCGGACGCCUGAUGCAGCAACGCCGCGUGCGGGAUGACGGCCUUCGGGUUGUAAACCGCUUUCGCCUGUGACGAAGCGUGAGUGACGGUAAUGGGUAAAGAAGCACCGGCUAACUACGUG
rnacentral:rRNA from 1 species